rnacentral:lncRNA from 1 species
UACUAAUAUAUAUGCAUUGUUCUAUUUGCCACUUGGAUAAACAUGUUAAAUUAUCCUUUUCUAAUAAAGGAUACAGAUAUAACAUUAAUGAUUUAUUUGAGCUUGUGCAUCUAGAUGUGUGGGGGAGAUAUCACACUCUACACACCAUAACAAAUAUUAUUUCUUAACAAUUGUAGAGGAUCACUCUAGAACUACCUGCAUUUAUCUGACGACAUAUAAAUCAAAGCUCUCUGACCUCAUCAUAAAAUUUUACAAAAUGGUACAAACCCAAUUUGGAAAAUCCAUAAUGACAAUGGAACAUAAUCCACCCCAUGUUCAUCACUCCAAACAUUUCUCUCAGAGAAUGGAACCUCUCAUCAAACAAACUGUCCAUAUAACAAAUGAGGUGGUAGAGAAAAAGCGCAAACACCUCUUUAAGAUUGCAAUGCCACUUAGAUUUCAAUUCAAUGUGCUUGAAUAUUUCUGAGGUGAUUGCAUUUUUCAUACAAUCUUUAUAAAAAACAUAUUGUCAUCUUUAGCAACAGACCUAAAGUUCCCAUUUGAAAUACUAAACAAAUUAAUCUGAAUACCCAUCUGUUGCACCCCAAUUGUUUGGGAUUAAAAGCUCUUCCCAACCAAUAGGGAUUCAACAUGCAAUGCACCAAAACCAGCUGAUGCAUGGCUGGUAUUACCUUGAGAUCAACAUCUGUCAGGAGUCAGGACGCGUGGAGAAUAACGAUGCGUCAGCUCCAGUUAUAAAAGUGAAGGUACGUUGUGAUGUAUUAUGGAGGCUUGGAAGAGAGUUUAUAAAUAAAAUAUUCCUUGUAAUCCAAACGUGUUUAGCUCAACACCAUCCAUGAAGACAUUUGAAUGUAUUUGCUAUGCCUCAACAAAUCAAAGAGAGAAUAAAUUCUCUCCAAUGACCACAUAAUCAUGCAUAUUCUUAGAUCAGUCGGCCUCCCAAAAGGAAUACAUACUAUUUGACACAAAAGAAAAGAAUUUCCUAGCAGCAGAAAUGUUAGAUUCCAUGAGAACAUCUGCCCAUGCCAUCAUAAAGACUUCAUGAUCCUAAAUCUACUCUCCCCCUAGACAAUUUUCAAAUCUAUGAUGAGGAAGAACCUCAAAACACACCCACCACUGGAAAUGUGGAUACACAAGAAACAACAAAUCUAACUUUUAUAUCUGAAUUAAUACCAACCUCUGACCUUGAGGAGGAUCAGGAUAUAUUAGAUCCAGACACCCCAACUGAAUCUGACACAAACUACCUACCAUCAUCAGACCUUGACUCAUUUGGAUCAAACACUUCCAUCUUCAUAUCAACCUAGAUUCGCCUGCAGAAGUAAGAAGAUCUGAGAGGGUUGCUUAGAAACCUAAAUUCAUCCACAGAAUCACUAUUGUUCCUUUACAAUCAACAUAGGUUCCUUAAAAGGGACAAGACAUAUUAUGUCCAAACAAAUAUCACACAAUAGGUUCUUUGCCAACCACACAAAAUACCUGGAUAAGAUCGAUCUCCUCUAAAAUAAAACACAAACCCACGCAUUCAGGCAUCCACUGAUCCUCAGUGGAUUAAAGUCAUGGAAAAAGAACUGUCCGACUCUCCGUCGUGGAAUUAGAUCAAGGGGAAUCGACAAUCCCAUCCCGUCCGGAUUUAGU